rnacentral:rRNA from 1 species
GCGGAGAGAAGCUUGCUUCUCUCCGGCGACGAGUGGCGAACGGGUGAGUAAUACAUCGGAACGUGUCCGCUCGUGGGGGACAACCAGCCGAAAGGUUGGCUAAUACCGCAUGAGUUCUACGGAAGAAAGAGGGGGAUCCGCAAGGGCCUCUCGCGAGCGGAGCGGCCGAUGACUGAUUAGCCGGUUGGUGAGGUAACGGCUCACCAAAGCAACGAUCAGUAGCUGGUCUGAGAGGACGACCAGCCACACUGGGACUGAGACACGGCCCAGACUCCUACGGGAGGCAGCAGUGGGGAAUUUUGGACAAUGGGCGCAAGCCUGAUCCAGCUAUUCCGCGUGUGGGAUGAAGGCCCUCGGGUUGUAAACCACUUUUGUAGAGAACGAAAAGACACCUUCGAAUAAAGGGUGUUGCUGACGGUACUCUAAGAAUAAGCACCGGCUAACUACGUGCCAGCAGCCGCGGUAAUACGUAGGGUGCGAGCGUUAAUCGGAAUUACUGGGCGUAAAGGGUGCGCAGGCGGUUGAGUAAGACAGAUGUGAAAUCCCCGAGCUUAACUCGGGAAUGGCAUAUGUGACUGCUCGACUAGAGUGUGUCAGAGGGAGGUGGAAUUCCACGUGUAGCAGUGAAAUG